rnacentral:sRNA from 1 species
UCGCAUGUCCCCAUGUAAACCAUUGGAA